UAGCUCAGAUGGUAAAGCGUCUGCCUACAAUGCAGGAGACCCGGGUUUGAUCCCUGG
rnacentral:tRNA from 1 species